AUAACCAAAACACAAAAAACAGCCCUAAAUUCCUCCUUCCAAAAUUGUGCGUGAGAGAAGCACGAGAGAACCGUUACCUUCUUCGUCAACAAUUGACCACCACCCGCCACCUAGACCACCAAACCCUACUACGAUUCAAACCCCGUCGCCUCCCUCUUCAACCUCUUGUCAUCACCUGGCCACGGAGUUGCCAAAAACAGCCCCAAUCACUACCCAAAAUCACGCUAACAGUCAUCGUUUUUGCCAUAUUUCGGUCGCCGUCGGCCAGCAUUUCAAUCAAAGACCAUCACCACUCCACUCCUCUCAACCAGGCACAUCCAGUACCAUCAUGGGUCACCUGCAAUUUUGUCCAAUCGAGUGUGCUUGUGAAAGUUGACCGUGAGUUUUGAAAUAGAUUCGGCCCCAACAAAAUUGAUGAAAUUUUAUUGAUAGGUGGUGGGACGUUGAUAUUCGGGAGACUUUGAGGAGUGUGAUUAAGAGGCUUGAUGACUGAUGAGUAUUUGAAUUUGUGGGAUCGGAGACGGGAAAAUGUUGGGAGGGCUGAUGUGAAAAAGAGAGGUGAGGAGGAAAAUGAAGAGUGGGAUUGGGAGCGGUGGAGGAAGCAUUUUGCUGAGGCCGAUAAGCAAUAGCGUAGUUAUCUCGAUUUUGAAGUCACAGUUGGCUUUUGCUACUAAUAGAGAGGAUUAUGGAGAUGCUGCUAGGCUCACGGUGGCAAUUGCAGCUGCAGCAACAAAAUGACACUAUUGGCAGAGUAAUGUCUCAUCUGAAGAAAGCUGUUCAGGAAGAAUAUUAUGGCGAUGCAGCUCUUGUAUGUGAUUAUGCUGGUGCUGGAUUAGUUGAAUAGUGGGCUGGAAUUUCAGAAGACAGUAAUGACCCUUUGGUUGUAUUAUUCAUAUAAGUGCAGAGCAUAGGCGAUAUGCAGCCAGAAGUUAUAGUCCUAGUGCAGAGCAUGAGCAAUAUGGUAUAAAAGUGCUGCUUACAAUACAGAAAUCGGAUAAGCUAACAUAUUAUAGAGAAAUGUCUUGAAGUUCCAACACGUCAAGUAAAUCAGAUGCGAUAUUUUCUGUAGUCAUUUCUAAAAGAGAACAUAUUUUACAUAAGUUAUUUGAAGUCCCAUGGAUGCAGCCAUGUCCACUUAAUGCUACUAGUUGCAAACCAGUGUGUAAGAGUAACGACGACGAGAUAUUGCUCAGUAGCAACAAUGGUGGGGGUCUGGUGAUGACAAUUGUUCAGUGGCUUAUAACGGCACUAGCUUAGUCAUUGUGGAGGUGAGACGGUGAUGAGGGUGGUUCAACAAGCUCAUAGACGAAGCACUCUAGUCAUGGUGGUUAUAGAGGCUCCUUUCUCUUUUUUAAAUUAUUUUGAGCUUGAGGCUAGAAAGCGGCAAUGGUGGCUUUGCGGAGAUUCUACUCAGCUCCCCCUACUUGAGAUAUUUCUUACAAGAAACAAUAAAGGCAAGUAUAAGCAACAGGCGCCGUUUACUUAAAACGGAGAGGAACUCAGCAGAAUCUCUCAAUUCUCCCUAUUUGAGAAUGUCUUGCGGGACAUGAUUCCUGGUGUGAAAGCCAAGGUUGUGCAAGUAACAACACCAAUAAAGGUGGACAGGAAACUAAUAUCAAAGGCGAUUGAACAAAUAAUAGACGAAGAAGAGGAAAUAGUAUUAUUUCAAAUAUCUGUCAUAUAGAUUGAUGUUGGAGUAAAUUCUUUUCUUUAUGCAAGUUGUUGUGCAAGCAUGAUAGUGUUAAGAGUUUGAUCUUUUAGAAGGGCACAACAUUAUGUGCUUGCCAAAAUGUAGUGACCAGGUUUACAUGAUCAAACAAGGAGUAACUUUGCCUUCUAAAUCAUGGUAGAAUCAUGCUAAGUGCUCAGAGCAUAGUUUGGUCGUUGAUAUAUGUUUUGUUGUGCAUGUGGCUUAUAUAGAGUGGAACACAGGUCCUGGAUCAAAUGGGUCGAUGUCGGCGCGGAGCGGAGCGGAGUGAGCGUUUACUAUAGAGUUCUUGAGGAUAACUCAUAUAUUUUCUUGAUGUUGUACGUGGACGACAUGUUAAUGGCUGCUAAGAACAUGGAUGAGGUAGACAAAUUGAAUCUUUGUUGAGCAGUAAGUUUAAUAUGAAAGACUUGUGACCGGUUAAGAAAAUUCUUGGCAUGGAGAUCAACAGAAAUUGGAAAGCUAGAAAAUUAUGAGUGUCUCAGAAAAAUUAUUUGAAGAAAGUGUUAGAAAGGUUUAGCAUGUCAGGUGCAAAAUCAGUUGCCACACCACUUGCAAAUCACUUCAGAUUGUCUAAUAAUCAGUGCCCAAAGAGUGAAGAAGAUGUUGCAGAGAUGUCAAAGGUACCUUAUGUCGGUGCAGUUGGAUGUUUGAUGUAUGCAAUGGUGUAUACCAAACCAGAUUUAGCACAUGCAGUCAGUGUGGUUAGUAAGUAUAUGGCUAAUCCUGGUAGAGAGCAUUGGAGAGCUGUAAAGUGGAUUUUCAGGUACUUGAAAGGUACAAUGGAGUGCGGGAUCAUGUUUGAGAGACAACAUGGUGAUAUUUCAAUUCAAGAAUAUGUAGAUGCAGAUUAUGCAGGGAACUUGGAUGAUAGAAGGUCCCAUACAGGUUAUGUUUUCACACUCGCAGGUGGGCCCAUAUGUUGGAGGUCAAUGGUGCAAUAACUUGUGGCAUUAUUUACAACUGAAGCAGAGUGCAUGGUGGCAACUGAGGCAGCCAAGAAAUUAUUGUGGUUGAAAGGGCUUGUCAGGGAAUUUGGGAUCAAGCAAGAUGGAAUGAAGCUGUACUGUGAUAGCCAGAGCGCCAUCUACCUAGCUAAAAAUCAGAUUUAUCAUGCAAGAACCAAGCACAUUGAUGUGAGAUUUCAUAAGAUAAGAGAGUUGGUUACUUCAGGAGAACUAUUGUUAGAGAAGGUGCAUACCUUAGAAAAUGCAACAGACAUGAUGACAAAGCCAAUCACAAUGGAUAGGUUCAAGCAUUGUUUGAACUUAAUUAACAUCUCUAGGUGUUAGAGAGAAUGUGUCCCAACCCAUUGGUCCUAGAUGGUGUGGUUUUUUCCAGGUUAUGUUUUUUUCUCCUAAGGGGUGAAUAUUCGCCAAGGUGGAAAUUGUUGUGCAUGUGGCUCAUAUAGAGUGGAACGCGGGCUUUUUCUGUACAGGCCUUAAAGUCUUAUAUGGGCCCAGGCUAGGGUUAGUAUAAAUAAUAUGUUGUAACCCUAUUUUUCACAAUUGAAUAAAGAAAUCUCGCUUCGCUCU